GCGGACGGGUGAGUAACACGUAGGUAACCUGCCGAUAAGACUGGGAAAACUCCGGGAAACCGGGGCUAAUACCGGAUAACAUUUUGCACCGCAUGGUGCGAAAUUGAAAGGCGGCUUCGGCUGUCACUUAUAGAUGGACCUGCGGCGCAUUAGCUAGUUGGUGAGGUAACGGCUCACCAAGGCGACGAUGCGUAGCCGACCUGAGAGGGUGAUCGGCCACACUGGGACUGAGACACGGCCCAGACUCCUACGGGAGGCAGCAGUAGGGAAUCUUCCGCAAUGGACGAAAGUCUGACGGAGCAACGCCGCGUGAACGAUGAAGGCUUUCGGGUCGUAAAGUUCUGUUGUUAGGGAAGAACAAGUGCUAGUUGAAUAAGCUGGCACCUUGACGGUACCUAACCAGAA
rnacentral:rRNA from 1 species